AUCGUAUCAUUGCUUCUGGUUUUACACAAACAUAAUUAGUAAUGUUGUUGAUAUGGGUUUUAGAUAUCCAGGUUCUGUUGCUACGGACGUAUAGUUUGGCGAAAACUCGUGCACGGGACAAUAUAUUGGCAACCACUUAAUCUUUGACUAUGACAUAGAAAGCUGUUUGACCACCACUAAGGCAAUUUCUGGAAAUCCACUUGACGUUACCACAGGUGCGAAUGUUUUCGUCAAGACCUUUGUGCUGAACGUUGAUUGGACAGUGAACAUGAGGCUGCAUUCGUGCUACACAGAGCCGACCUUGAACGGCCAUGGUGCCCGGAACUACCUCAUAUAUAACGGUUGCGAAAUGGACGCUUACACCCACUUCCUGUCUCAGACGGACCAUGCGACGCGGUUUUUGUUCCAAGCGUUCCAGAUGAGCGGAUCAGACCACCGCCUGUACAUCAAGUGUGACGCCACGCUAAGUGACACGUCAGACGUGACGUCAUCCCAGCAGUGUGAUCAGAGGCCUCACUGCACGAAGAAAAAAUAAUAUUAAAGAACUGUCUUUAUUGAACAUUUCACAAUUGUAUAUUAACGUGUAAUUACAAUUGGUCGUGGUUAAAUUGAUUGCAAUCAAAACUAGUUCUUUUGUCAUAUUAACCUAUUGAUAGUCUGUACUGUGGCUACAACUUAAAUCAAACGGCAUUCUUAGUAGAGAAAUGUGAUGUGUAGGAGGUGGGACUAAAAAUAAGCUGGUGAAAUUCAUAAUGAUAAAU